rnacentral:lncRNA from 1 species
CGCCUAGCCCUGCGCCUCCGUCGCCUACGCCUCCCAGCCCUGCUCCGCCGGCACCGCCCAGCCCGAAGCCGCCCAGCCCGACGCCGCCGAUACCCCCUAGCCCUAAGCCGCCGGCGCCUCCCAGUCCUAAGCCGCCUGUACCGCCGAGCCCGCGGCCGCCGUCACCACCUCGCCCGCCGCUUCCUCCGUUGCCCUCCAACGACUGCGUGUACCGCGGCUCCUUUGACACCCCGGUGGAUGUUAAGCGCGGCCCUGCGGUCACGUGUGCAGACCAGGCCGCCUGCCUGGACGUGAUCUUUGACGGCUCGCAGUGCGAGCAGGAUUACGCGGAUGUGGACGAGGUGGAGGAUCUGCAGCAGGGCGAUGGGGACAGCAGCAGCACUACUAGUACGGACGGGCAGCAAGGCAGCAGCUCCAGCCGGCGCCGGCGCUUGCAGACGACCAGCAGCAGCGACGACGGCCCAUAUCAGCAGGAUGUGUAUACGUACUGCAAGGUGUGCCUGGCGUGGUCCAACGCCCGUGGCGGCUGCGGCAAAGACACGCGCGACACGCUGAGCCACGUGUGCAGCGCGGACCGCUUCAUGGCCGUUGUGCCAGGGGCGGGCCAAGCGCCUGUGGUGGGCUCCACCAACAAGCUCAACAACUGGGAGAGCGGAGACCAGAGUGAGUGAUCAAGGCACGUUGCCUGCGUGCUUUACCCACUUUGAUUCGCAGAGCAAGCUCACGUGCUCUCGGCGGCCGCCUGCGUGCUAGUGCAUGCUGUAAGCGUACGUGCGACCACACCUAGCUACCUGAAGUGAAGUCGCAGGUGCUGAUGCAUCUGCUGUAUGCAUGAUUGCCCGCUUUGGAUGCAGACCGCUAUUGCCAAUGGGUGCGCUGGAACAGCAGCAGUACCUGGACCGAGGUGUACUGGAGCAUCAAAGACGGCAACGGCGAGUGCCUUCCUGCCGGCCAGACGGCGCCCCUGUCGGUCACUCUGCAGGGCCUGCGCGCGCAGUGCGGCGGGCGUCGCCGUAUUAACAGCACCACUGUAGCAGGCUGUGACAAGGGCAGUCAGUCCAACGAGUGCCUGUGGCGCAUUGACUUGCCUCUUCCCGGCUCCCCCGACUUUCAGUGCCGUGCGCCAUCGCCGCCCAGCCCGCGGCCGCCGGUGCCGCCUAGCCCUUCCCCACCCGCUCCACCCAGCCCUCGGCCGCCAGCGCCGCCCAGCCCCAAGCCUCCCUCACCGCAGCCGCCUAGCCCCGCGCCGCCGUCGCCUGCACCUCCCAGCCCUCGGCCGCCUGCGCCUCCCAGCCCUGCUCCGCCGGCGCCGCCCAGCCCCGCGCCUCCCUCGCCGCAGCCACCUAGCCCUGCGCCACCGUCGCCUGCGCCUCCCAGCCCUGCUCCGCCGGCGCCGCCUAGCCCCGCGCCGCCGUCGCCUGCACCUCCCAGCCCUCGGCCGCCUGCGCCUCCCAGCCCUGCUCCGCCAGCGCCGCCCAGCCCCGCGCCUCCCUCACCGCAGCCACCUAGCCCUGCGCCACCGUCGCCUGCGCCUCCCAGCCCUGCUCCGCCGGCGCCGCCUAGCCCCGCGCCGCCGUCGCCUGCAC